GACGAACGCUGGCGGCGUGCUUAACACAUGCAAGUCGAACGGAAAGGCCCUGCUUUUGUGGGGUGCUCGAGUGGCGAACGGGUGAGUAACACGUGAGUAACCUGCCCUUGACUUUGGGAUAACUUCAGGAAACUGGGGCUAAUACCGGAUAGGAGCUCCUGCUGCAUGGUGGGGGUUGGAAAGUUUCGGCGGUUGGGGAUGGACUCGCGGCUUAUCAGCUUGUUGGUGGGGUAGUGGCUUACCAAGGCUUUGACGGGUAGCCGGCCUGAGAGGGUGACCGGCCACAUUGGGACUGGGAUACGGCCCAGACUCCUCCGGGGGGCAGAAGUGGGGAAUAUGGCAAAAUGGGCGGAAGCCUGAUGCAGCAACGCCGGGGGGGGGAUGACGGCCUUCGGGUGGUAAACCGCUUUCGCCUGUGACGAAGGGUGGGUGACGGUAAUGGGGAAAGAAGCACCGGCUAACUACGU
rnacentral:rRNA from 1 species